ensembl:lincRNA
GAGAAGAGAGCUAAGGGGACCCGGGAAUGGCACAGAAGCUACAGUAAACACGAGAGAAAAAAAAGGCAGGCCUUGGGGGGACACAGGAGCAAGAGAAUUAGGGAUUGCCAGGACACCAGUGAAAACAGAAUGGAAGGAGGUCACAGAGAAAAAAAGAAGGGUGUAGUGGAAUGUCUGGGCAAGAAACAUUCCCUUAUGGCCCCAGCAGUUGGUGCCUCCUAUUGGUGGCAGUGUCUUCUCCAGGAUCCUGUAAACCAGAGGCUAUGUCAGGAGCUAAAGACAUGAUGGCCAAGAAGAACUAUGCACAGGACAAACAAGCAGGAGACAGAUGCUGCCUUGGUGUUGCAGAGCUUGGUGUGGAAGAGACUUGGGACUUCAAGAUGUUCCCCUGACUGACAUGGGCCAUAGGAGUGUCUGCUCAGCGGGUUCUGGGAGAGAAGGUGAGCUCACUUCUGCAGAUGACUCUACUCACUGGCCACACCAUGCUCUAUAAACACCCUGCACCAUCUGUGAUGUCAGCUGCCAGCCGCCUGGAGAAUCUGCCCUGCUCUGGGAGCUUGUAUUAAAACACUCACUUAUAACUCCCUAUUAAUUUUUCACGAGGAGUUAUUUUUAACUUGCUCAAACCAUUGUCUGAAUAUGCCAAAUAUAUUUUCUUAAUGAACGAGCC